UCCGCUGUAGCACUUCAGGC
rnacentral:siRNA from 1 species